rnacentral:rRNA from 1 species
UUGCCAGGAUUCUUCCAUGCAGUCGACGGUGAUAUCAGGGCUUGCUCUGGUUGAUCAGUGGCGAACGGGUGAGUAACACGUGAGUAACCUGCCCCUGACUCUGGGAUAACUGCUGGAAACGGUGGCUAAUACCGGAUAUGAGACCUGAUCGCAUGGUGGGGUCUGGAAAGAUUUUUUGGUCAGGGAUGGACUCGCGGCCUAUCAGCUUGUUGGUGGGGUGAUGGCCUACCAAGGCGACGACGGGUAGCCGGCCUGAGAGGGCGACCGGCCACACUGGGACUGAGACACGGCCCAGACUCCUACGGGAGGCAGCAGUGGGGAAUAUUGCACAAUGGGCGAAAGCCUGAUGCAGCGACGCCGCGUGAGGGAUGAAGGCCUUCGGGUUGUAAACCUCUUUCAGCAGGGAAGAAGCGCAAGUGACGGUACCUGCAGAAGAAGCGCCGGCUAACUACGUGCCAGCAGCCGCGGUAAUACGUAGGGCGCAAGCGUUGUCCGGAAUUAUUGGGCGUAAAGAGCUCGUAGGCGGUUUGUCGCGUCUGCUGUGAAAACUCAAGGCUCAACCUUGGGCUUGCAGUGGGUACGGGCAGACUAGAGUGCGGUAGGGGUGACUGGAAUUCCUGGUGUAGCGGUGGAAUGCGCAGAUAUCAGGAGGAACACCGAUGGCGAAGGCAGGUCACUGGGCCGCAACUGACGCUGAGGAGCGAAAGCAUGGGGAGCGAACAGGAUUAGAUACCCUGGUAGUCCAUGCCGUAAACGUUGGGCACUAGGUGUGGGGCUCAUUCCACGAGUUCCGUGCCGCAGCAAACGCAUUAAGUGCCCCGCCUGGGGAGUACGGCCGCAAGGCUAAAACUCAAAGAAAUUGACGGGGGCCCGCACAAGCGGCGGAGCAUGCGGAUUAAUUCGAUGCAACGCGAAGAACCUUACCAAGGCUUGACAUACACCGGUAACGUGCAGAGAUGUGCGCCCCGCAAGGUCGGUGUACAGGUGGUGCAUGGGUUGUCGUCAGCUCGUGUCGUGAGAUGUUGGGUUAAGUCCCGCAACGAGCGCAACCCUCGUCCCAUGUUGCCAGCGGGUUAUGCCGGGGACUCAUGGGAGACUGCCGGGGUCAACUU